rnacentral:rRNA from 1 species
CUCCGGUUGAUCCCGCCGGACCCGACUGCUAUCAGAGUGGGACUAAGCCAUGCGAGUCGACGUAGCAAUGCGUGGCGAACGGCUCAGUAACACGUAGUCAACAUGCCCAGGGGACGUGGAUAACCUCGGGAAACUGAGAAUAAACCACGAUAGGUCACGAUUUCUGGAAUGGAUCAUGGCCUAAAUCUACAUGGCCCCUGGAUUGGACUGCGGCCGAUCAGGCUGUUGGUGAGGUAAUGGCCCACCAAACCUAUAACCGGUACGGGCUCUGAGAGGAGAAGCCCGGAGAUGGGCACUGAGACAAGGGCCCAGGCCCUAUGGGGCGCAGCAGGCGCGAAACCUCUGCAAUAGGCGAAAGCCUGACAGGGUUACUCUGAGUGAUUUCCGCUAAGGGGAUCUUUUGGCACCUCUAAAAAUGGCUGCAGAAUAAGGGGUGGGCAAGUCUGGUGUCAGCCGCCGCGGUAAUACCAGCACCCCGAGUGGUCGGGACGAUUAUUGGGCCUAAAGCAUCCGUAGCCGGUUCUGCAAGUCUUCCGUUAAAUCCAGCCGCUCAACGGAUGGGCCGCGGAGGAUACUACAGGACUAGGAGGCGGGAGAGGCAAGCGGUACUCAGUGGGUAGGGGUAAAAUCCUUUGAUCCGCGGAAGACCACCAGUGGCGAAGGCGGUCCGCCAGAACGCGCCCGACGGUGAGGGAUGAAAGCUGGGGGAGCGAACCGGAUUAGAUACCCGGGUAGUCCCAGCCGUAAACGAUGCUAGCUAGAUGAUUCAUUCGCAAGUCGCGAAUGAAGUGUCGCAGGGAAGCCGUUAAGCUAGCCGCCUGGGGAGUACGGUCGCAAGUCUGAAACUUAAAGGAAUUGGCGGGGGAGCA